rnacentral:rRNA from 1 species
CCACCGGCGGCGCAAGCGGUAUCCGCUUUUAUUGGGCCUAAAGCGUCCGUAGCCGGUCUGAUAAGUCUCUGGUGAAAUCCCGCAGCUUAACUGUGGGAAUGGAUGGAGAUACUAUCAUGACUCGUGGACGGGAGAGGCUGGGAGUACUACCAGGGGAGGGGGGAAAUCCUGUAAUCCUGGGAGGACCAACUGGGGCGGAGGCGUCCAGCUGGAACUAACCUGACGGUGAGGGACGAAAGCCAGGGGCGCGACCCGGAUUAGAUACCCGGGUAGUCCUGGCCGUAAACGAUGUGGACUUGGUGUUGGGAUGGCUUCGAGCUGCCCCAGUGCCGAAGGGAAGCUGUUAAGUCCACCGCCUGGGAAGUACGGCCGCAAGGCUGAAACUCAAAUGAAUUGGCGGGG